UACGAAGGGGGCUAGCGUUGCUCGGAAUCACUGGGCGUAAAGGGUGCGUAGGCGGGUCUUUAAGUCAGGGGUGAAAUCCUGGAGCUCAACUCCAGAACUGCCUUUGAUACUGAAGAUCUUGAGUUCGGGAGAGGUGAGUGGAACUGCGAGUGUAGAGGUGAAAUUCGUAGAUAUUCGCAAGAACACCAGUGGCGAAGGCGGCUCACUGGCCCGAUACUGACGCUGAUGCACGAAAAGCGUGGGGAGCAAACAGG
rnacentral:rRNA from 1 species